rnacentral:rRNA from 1 species
GCGCCGGCGAUGUUUCAUUCAAAUUUCUGCCCUAUCAACUUUCGACGGUAGGGUAGUGGCCUACCGUGGUGGUAACGGGUAACGGAGGAUUAGGGUUCGAUUCCGGAGAGGGAGCCUGAGAAACGGCUACCACAUCCAAGGAAGGCAGCAGGCGCGCAAAUUACCCAAAUCCCAACUCGGGGAGGUAGUGACAAGAAAUAACGAUGCUCCGGCCAUCGGUCGGGUAAUCGGAAUGAGGACAAUUUAAAUCCCUUAUCGAGGAUCAAUUGGAGGGCAAGUCUGGUGCCAGCAGCCGCGGUAAUUCCAGCUCCAAUAGCGUAUAUUUAAGUUGCUGCGGUUAAAAAGCUCGUAGUCGGAUUUCGGGUGGUGCCUACCGGUCCGCCUUUGGUGUGUACUGGUAGGCGCCACCUUUCUGCCGAGGACGGGUUCCUGGGCUUAACUGUCUGGGGCCCGGAGUCGGCGACGUCACUUUGAGUAAAUUAGGGUGUUUAAAGCAGGCUUAUGCUCUGUAUACACUAGCAUGGGAUGACACGAUAGGACUUCGGUCUAUCUUGUCGGUCUGUAGAUCGGAGUAAUGAUUAAGAGGGACAGUCGGGGGCAUUCGUAUUUCGUAGUCAGAGGUGAAAUUCUUGGAUUUACGGAAGACGAACUUCUGCGAAAGCAUUUGCCAAGGAUGUUUUCAUUGAUCAAGAACGAAAGUCGGGGGCUCGAAGACGAUUAGAUACCGUCGUAGUCUCGACCAUAAACGAUGCCGCA